AAUAUCUCAUUUGAUUCUUAGGACAACCUUGGGAGGUAGAUGCUGUUAUUAUUAUCCCCGUUUUACAGAUGAGGAAACUGAAGCAAGCAAAGCUGUGAAUGGGAAAGCUUCUCCAAGUCCCAUUUAAGGAGUGACUUAGCAGCAGCCAAGAAGGUCCAGACCUAGUCUGAGGUCUCUGAGAAGGCCAGGAAGAAUCCCCAGAUCCCUCAGCUCUUUAAAUGUCAACAAACCACAGCUGAAAAUGGCAGAUAAGGGACUCCAGGUGUUUCAACAAACAACAGAUGCCUAACAAAGGACAGGUAAGGUCUUCCCUAACUGACUGAAACAACAACAAUAAUUACUGGGAGGCA
rnacentral:lncRNA from 1 species